rnacentral:rRNA from 1 species
GAUGAACGCUGGCGGCGUGCCUAAUACAUGCAAGUCGAGCGAACAGACGAGGAGCUUGCUCCUCUGACGUUAGCGGCGGACGGGUGAGUAACACGUGGAUAACCUACCUAUAAGACUUGGAUAACUUCGGGAAACCGGAGCUAAUACCGGAUAAUAUAUUGAACCGCAUGGUUCAAUAGUGAAAGACGGUUUUGCUGUCACUUAUAGAUGGAUCCGCGCCGCAUUAGCUAGUUGGUAAUGUAACAGCUUACCAAGGCAACGAUGCGUAGCCGAGCUGAGAGGGUGAUCGGCCACACUGGAACUGAGACACGGUCCAGACUCCUACGGGAGGCAGCAGUAGGGAAUCUUCCGCAAUGGGCGAAAGCCUGACGGAGCAACGCCGCGUGAGUGAUGAAGGUCUUCGGAUCGUAAAACUCUGUUAUUAGGGAAGAACAAAUGUGUAAGUAACUAUGCACGUCUUGACGGUACCUAAUCAGAAAGCCACGGCUAACUACGUG